CUUUUCUAGUUAGAAAAAGCUAAACAUUGUGCGACUUACGCCCAAAACCCCCUUCUAAGGGGAUUCUCACCUUAACUUGUCUUCCGUGGUCAGUGUUUCCCGCCCCUGAAUCUGGGUUACUGUCACUAUGGCUUUCAAUUGGCCCGGCUUAGGCGCAUGCUCUGCGCGUAUUGGCCUCCGCUCCUGUCCCCAGACAAGCGGCCAUCUUGGGUCCCGCCCCUACCGUGGGGUCUUCUGGGAAUUGCAGUCCCCGCUCCGCUCUGUCCUGUCACAGGACUUUUUGCCCUCUGUUCCUGGGUCCCUCAGGCGGCCACCCAGUGGGCACACUCCCAGGCGGCGCUCCGGCCCCGCGCUCCCUCCCUCUGCCUUUCAUUCCCAGCUGCCAACAUCCUGGAAGCUUUGAAGCUCAGCAAAGAAGAGAAAUCCAUUGAGAACGGUCUGUAAAGAAAAUAGGAAUGAUUGACCAAAAUAUCUCCUUAAAUGUUGCCUCCUACCUCCAGCAUGAUCAUGAGCCUCCAAAUUAAAGAUGCAGGUAAGUUUUCAAUCAGAU
rnacentral:lncRNA from 1 species